UGCCUACGGGGCGCAGCAGUGAGGAAUAUUGGUCAAUGGACGGAAGUCUGAACCAGCCAUGCCGCGUGCAGGAAGACGGCUCUAUGAGUUGUAAACUGCUUUUGUACAAGGGUAAACCUGAAUACGUGUAUUCAGCUGAAAGUACUGUACGAAUAAGGAUCGGCUAACUCCGUGCCAGCAGCCGCGGUAAUACGGAGGAUGCGAGCGUUAUCCGGAUUUAUUGGGUUUAAAGGGUGCGUAGGCGGAUUUUUAAGUCAGCGGUAAAAUGUCCGGGCUCAACCCGGGCCGGCCGUUGAAACUGGGGG
rnacentral:rRNA from 1 species